AGCAGCCGCGGUAAUUCCAGCUCCAAUAGCGUAUAUUAAAGUUGUUGCAGUUAAAAAGCUCGUAGUUGAAUUUCGGGGUUAGUAGGUUGGUCAUGCCUCUGGUAUGUACUGGUCUCACUGAUUCCUCCUUCCUGAUGAACCUUAAUGCCAUUUAUUUGGUGUUUUGGGGAAUUUGGACUGUUACUUUGAAAAAUUAGAGUGUUUAAAGCAAGCUAACGCUUGAAUACAUUAGCAUGGAAUAAUGAAAUAGGACGUUCGAUCCUAUUUUGUUGGUUUCUAGGAUUGACGUAAUGAUUAAUAGGGAUAGUUGGGGGCAUUAGUAUUCAAUUGUCAGAGGUGAAAUUCUUGGAUUUAUUGAAGACUAACUACUGCGAAAGCAUUUGCCAAGGAUGUUUUCAUUAAUCAAGAACGAAAGUUAGGGGAUCGAAGACGAUCAGAUACCGUCGUAGUCUUAACCAUAAACUAUGCCGACUAGGGAUCGGAUGAUGUUAAUUUUUUAAUGACUCAUUCGGCGCCUUAC
rnacentral:sRNA from 1 species